GCGCAACCCUUAUCCUUUGUUGCCAGCGGUUAGGCCGGGAACUCAAAGGAGACUGCCAGUGAUAAACUGGAGGAAGGUGGGGAUGACGUCAAGUCAUCAUGGCCCUUACGACCAGGGCUACACACGUGCUACAAUGGCGCAUACAAAGAGAAGCGACCUCGCGAGAGCAAGCGGACCUCAUAAAGUGCGUCGUAGUCCGGAUUGGAGUCUGCAACUCGACUCCAUGAAGUCGGAAUCGCUAGUAAUCGUGGAUCAGAAUGCCACGGUGAAUACGUUCCCGGGCCUUGUACACACCGCCCGUCACACCAUGGGAGUGGGUUGCAAAAGAAGUAGGUAGCUUAACCUUCGGGAGGGCGCUUACCACUUUGUGAUUCAUGACUGGGGUGAAGUCGUAACAAGGUAACCGUAGGGGAACCUGCGGUUGGAUCACCUCCUUACCUUAAAGAA
rnacentral:rRNA from 1 species